rnacentral:tmRNA from 1 species
GGGGGCGUACUGGAUUCGACAGGUCAGUUAUCGCUAUAGAGAGGCAUGCCGGGUUCCGAGCUCCCGUUAAACGAUCGGUUUUCACAGCUGCCAACAACAACACGCAGCUCGCUUACGCAGCCUAAUUAGGCUACGGCGUCUCCGGUUUCGGGCCCAUACGGGCCGGUCGACGUAAAAACCUCAUGGGCUGGACCGAGAGCUUCUGUUCGGAGCAGCAGGUCGAGAUUCAAUCGGACUGGAUCGCAUCCGCCUUGUCCAUUCAUUAGGGCGCGGUCGAGACAAAGGAAUGGAAUAAGCAUGUAGUCUCUUUGUAGGGAUCUGUCUUGGACGCGGGUUCGAUUCCCGCCGCCUCCACCA